rnacentral:lncRNA from 1 species
AGAAAGAUGAAAUUGAUAUUUUAGGAAGAACAUUAUUACUACAAAGUACAGGAGAGUGUGAGAAACUGCCUGGCACCCCUGCCCCCUCACUCCAUCAGGUGUUGUUACUUGCCUCUGCCUGAAGGCUCCUGCUGGCCCACACUCUUAGACUACUUCAGGCUGUACAUAAAGGACCUCCACCUCAUAAGGAGUCUGUCUGUCUCUCUGCAGGUGACGCUGUCUCUUUCAGCCAGUCUGUCCCUACUGCUGUAAAUGCUCCAGCAGCAAUGAUCCCGCAGCUCUGGAGCCCAAGAAAGCACCUGUGGUUCAGCAGAUUCACUGGGAUCUUAGAGACAUUAUAGAUGGGAUUUCCCUUGACCCAUCUGAGACCUCCCCAUGGCUGGUGAUAGCUGAGCAUGUGUGGAAACCAGACAAGUCACAGGCAGAGAG